AUUGAACGCUGGCGGCAGGCCUAACACAUGCAAGUCGAGCGAGCGGCGGGCGGGUGAGUAAUAUAUGGGUCUCCGCCUGAGGGGGGGGGAUAACUACUAGAAACUGUAUCUAAUAGCGCAUACCCGCAUAUGCACCCAUAUGGGAUUGGCUUGUAGGUGAGGUAACGGCUCACCUAGGCCACUAUCCCUAGCUGGUAUGAGAGGAUGAUCAGCCACACUGGGACUGAGACACGGCCCAGACUCCUACGGGAGGCAGCAGUGGGGAAUAUUGCACAAUGGGCGCAAGCCUGAUGCAGCCAUGCCGCGUGUAUGAAGAAGGCCUUCGGGUUGUAAAGUACUUUCAGUCGGGAGGCGUUACCGACAGAAGAAGCACCGGCUAACUCCGUGCCAGCAGCCGCGGUAAUAC
rnacentral:rRNA from 1 species